AAUGAACGUUGGCGGCGUGGAUUAGGCAUGCAAGUCGAGCGAGAAUCUUAAAGUGGAAGCUUCGGCCGAAGCUUUAAGAGGACAGCGGCAAACGGGGUAGUAAGGCGUAGGUUACGUACCCUCAGGACCGGGAUAGCCACGGGAAACUGUGAGUAAUACCGGAUAAUCUCUGCGGAGCAAAUGGUGUGAUUCCGCCUGAGGAGCGGCUUACGUGAUACUAGGUAGUUGGUGGGGUAAUGGCCUACCAAGCCUCAGAUGUCUAGGGGGUGUGAGAGCAUGGCCCCCACCACUGGGACUGAGACACUGCCCAGACACCUACGGGUGGCUGCAGUCGAGAAUCUUCCACAAUGGGCGAAAGCCUGAUGGAGCGACGCCGCGUGCGGGAUGAAGGCCCUUGGGUUGUAAACCGCUGUCAGAGGGGAUGAAAUCCUUGGGGGCUAUCCCCUUGGUUGACAGAGCCUCAGAGGAAGCACGGGCUAAGUUCGUGCCAGCGCCGCGGUAA
rnacentral:rRNA from 1 species